UUAAAAAUGGAGAAAUUAGCUAAUUUUAGGGGUCGGUCACUGGAUUCCUUUUCCAGGCAUGUUUAUGUAAGAUAAUAAAUGAUCAUUACAGGUAUUCACUUGGUUCACUAUUAAAUCAAAUUGUUAGAUAAUAAAUGUUUCUCUCUCAUGCAGAAACAUUUCCUAGAUUACAGGAUUUGAAGACCUUAGCCUUUUCCUAAUAUAAUUCUGUCUUUCCAUUCCUUUCAAGACAAAGUUUUAUUAAUCUGACAAAGUAUAAAGCAAUGCUUAGAGAUAUUUUCAGAUAUUUAGCAUGAUUACAACAACUGAUAGAAAAAGCUGCAAAGAACUUUGUUUGAAGUGUAAAACCAAUGCAAAAUGCUAAUAAUGGUUGUUUUUCAUCUUGCCUUUUUUAGGAUAAACACUAUCAGAGGAAAACUGUGUGAUGAGCAUGUUUAAAAAGUUGUAUUUAACCAUUCAUGGUAAACUUGUAACUGCUAAACUGAUGGAAGACAUGUGGUUUUAUUUUUUUAAUGGAAAAGAAGACAAUUUACUGUCUCUCAGCCCAGCAUUCCCAAAAUACUGAUGCCGUAAGUAAGGCCAUUGUUCUUUAACAUGAAACACUGCCAACUGUGGGCUCAAAAAUGUCUCUCUGAAAUAAAGCUCGACUGUCAGCUCCAUUCCAUACAACCCCAUUUUUCCCACAGUCAACCUCUUACUUCAGUGAGGAAUAUUUCUCAUCCAGGGGACUUCCUUUCUGUAUUAACAGUGUACCACGAGCCUGUAGGCUCCUCUGGCAGACUUUGAAUGAAAGCAAACCCCUUAACCAUUUAUUAUGCUUUUAUGUUCAUCUACGUGUGCAGAGGUUAAUGUUUAGACCUCUUCUCAUGCCACUGUCUCUCCUAGGUGCUGAUUUAAUUUUUUUUCCAGUUUUGAUCCAGCAUGGGUUAAGACAGCUUUAACAAGGCCAGAGGUUUUUCAUCCAAAAGGUAUUCCAAACCUCCUGGAGAGCUCCACAAGUUGGUUUAAGCUGAAGAAUGAAGUAAGGAUGUCUAUUCCCUAUCCAAUCCUGUCAAAAUGACUGUUUACAAGUGUCUACAAAACCAUAUCAAAGGUAAAGUCCUCUAACUGCACUGCAAUGUGUCUCAUUGUUACUAAUUCCUGGGUCCUUUCCUUGAGCUCUUCUGUGAAUCAAAUUGUUUUCAUUUAUGGAAUUUCUUACUAGCUGUUAUUUUUAAAUGAGACUUUGGUUUCUCACAUGCCUCGUGGAAAUAUAGGCAUAUGUCAAAAACAUCUACUGGAAAAAUCUCCAUACUUCAGCAGGCCCUGAGGAUUUAGUAAUCAGCAUGAGAUUUUCCUCCUCUCAAUUACUGACUCUUUUGUUUUAAAAAAAUAGCACUAAUACUAAACAAACAAACAGCCCCAGUUGCUCCUCUUUCUCAGUAUUUAUUUUUGGAUGUCUUCCAGAGUCAUCUUUUAACUGUGAUUGCUGACAUCCUGGGCUAAGGCAGCCAUUCACAAGCCUCGAUAUUUCUAGAGGGGCUUUGGGAAUUUUUAAAUUUUAUCUAUUUAUUAUUUUAACAGGGAGGAGCCAAUGUUCUGGUUUUGUUGUUUGGGGGAUUUUUAAACAGAAAAAGCAGCAGGAUGCAAAUGGAAAAUUAAGGACUGAUUCACUGACUCCACUGUCUCUCCAAAAACAUGUCAGUCAUUUGUUAUAGUGAGAAUGAGAAAAACCUUCUGGUAGAGACUGUAAAACUCUGAAAAAAAUUAGUAACUGCCAUCCUUUGCUAUAAGAAACCUCACAAUUUAACACCUUCAAAUUAUUGCUUGUGAGUAUAAGACUCCUCAAACUUCAGGUUGGCUGAACUUGUCAAAAUAAACAAAUUCCCGCUUCAUUUCCGCUUGCUGAUGCACUCGGGAGGAGGAAGCUGGCCGAAGACACGGCCCAUUGCAGGUUUAUUCAGCCAGACUGCAGCUCUCAUUCCUUCCCCACCCACCACCAGCACCUGGUGAGAAGUGAGCACUUCCACACUCCCCAGCCAGCAGGGCUUGGUAGCUCAUUUCUGUGCCUAGUUCUGUGGGGCAUACCAUCUUUUUCCUUUUGACAAAAAGAAAAUGGCAUGGCUCAGGUGAAAUUGGGAGCCUUGCAUCAGCCUGGCAUGGACCCCUGAUCCCUAACAUUUCUUCACACGGCAUCUGCUUUGUUCAUCUCCUGGCCCAGGGCCAGCAGUGACUGCUGCCAGGUAGAAAGAGGAAGACUUUUAAGCAGGAAUGGGAGUAGGAAAGGAUCAAGUGCUGUCCUUGGAAGAAUGGAACAAAAUAAUUUAAGCUGAAAUUUGCAGUAUGUGAAGAAAGGAAAUACUGGCUGAUCAUUUGGGUUGGCUAGAAUAAGAUUCAAUAAACAAGUUAAUGCAGGAGUUUAAUAAAUUCAUUUAAUUAAAAAAAAAGUUUAGUGCAGUAGAAGUCAAGGCGACACUCUAGAAGAGGAGUGAAAGGUAGAAAAGCAGAAGAAAGGUAUGACGUCUUCAAAUCAAUCUUGGCAACAUUUCUUUUUGGGAGCUUCAGCUUUCUGGAAGCAAACUAUAAAUGCUCUGAAAAAUAAAUGAAUUCAGGAGGGAAAAAUCUCCAUUUCAAAGCUCUGACACGCUGUGUGGAGAGCCUUAUAUUUUAUGAGUAUUCUAGAACUGGUGAUGUGGCUAAAGGCCACUAGAGUCAGGCUCAAAGAAAAUCCAACCAGGCUUUCCUUACUCCCAAAGAGUCCAUCUCCUCUUUUCCCCAUUCAUUGGCUUUUAUGGACUUUACUGAAUUCACUCUUCAAAUACUCAGGGCAAGAAGGUGUUGUUAGCCCAUAAUAAGAGUUCUCCCUACUGCAAUAGCAUGAGACAGGAGGAGAGAUCUUCCAUGAGAAGCAGCAUGGACAGGAAAUAUGGGCAAGAGUUCGGUGAGCACAUUCACAUUGUUUCAAAUUAGGAGUGAUUUAAGUUAUGACUUGAGGGUGACUUUUCUGAAUCACAUUGAUACCAUGUGUUUUUCAAUGCUUAAUGUCAGGCAUUUAGCUCAUAAGUAAUAAAUGCCUAAUGUCAGCUCAUAAGUAAUAAAUUAGGAACAAUGUUGAGUUAAGAGAGUGUAAAAAUAAUCAGGUUUUUAGAAAAUGAUAAAACCCAGUUUGUGCCCUCUGAAUUAAGAAAAAUAGAUACAAACUAAGCUGUAUAAUAACUUAAUCACAAUUUGAGAUAGACCAGUAAGUGUGCAGAAAACUUUAAUGCUAACAGAUACUGAAUACAGGAAGUAGGAACAGCACUUCUGGGGUUAAAUAUAUAUAUUCUACUGCUGCAUUUGGGAUUAAACUCUUCCUGACAGUUCCCUUUGGCUUACGUUACUGAACUAGAUAAGAUAAAAUUACAGUCUAAACAAACAUGACCAGUCUUGCUAAAAAAAAAAAAAAAAAAA